rnacentral:rRNA from 1 species
CUAGCUGUAAACGAUGGAUACUAGGCGUUGAGAGUAUCGACCCUCUCAGUGUCGUAGCUAACGCGUUAAGUAUCCCGCCUGGGGAGUACGCGCGCAAGCGUGAAACUCAAAGGGAUUGACGGGGGCCCGCACAAGCGGUGGAGUAUGUGGUUUAAUUCGAUGCAACGCGAAGAACCUUACCAGGGCUUGACAUGUCCGGAACCCUGCCCAAAGGCGGGGGUGCCUACGGGAACCGGAACACAGGUGGUGC